GAUGAACGCUGGCGGCGUGCCUAACACAUGCAAGUCGAACGGAGUUCUUAAGGAAUGCGACUUCGGUCAAAUGACUUUUGAACUUAGUGGCGGACGGGUGAGUAACGCGUGAGCAACCUGCCUUUCAGAGGGGGAUAACAUUUGGAAACAGAUGCUAAUACCGCAUAAGAUUACAGUACCGCAUGAUACAGUGAUCAAAGGAGCAAUCCGCUGAAAGAUGGGCUCGCGUCCGAUUAGAUAGUUGGUGAGGUAACGGCUCACCAAGUCGACGAUCGGUAGCCGGACUGAGAGGUUGAACGGCCACAUUGGGACUGAGACACGGCCCAGACUCCUACGGGAGGCAGCAGUGGGGAAUAUUGCACAAUGGGCGAAAGCCUGAUGCAGCAACGCCGCGUGAGGGAAGACGGUUUUCGGAUUGUAAACCUCUGUUUUCGGUGACGAACAAAUGACGGUAACCGAGUAGGAAGCCACGGCUAACUACGUG
rnacentral:rRNA from 2 species